GACGAACGCUGGCGGCGUGCUUAACACAUGCAAGUCGAGCAGAAAGGCCCUUCGGGGUACUCGAGCGGCGAACGGGGGAGUAACACGUGAGUAAUCUGCCCUUCACUCUGGGAUAGCCACCGGAAACGGUGAUUAAUACCGGAUACGACCAAUCCCUGCAUGGGGUGGUGGUGGAAACUUUUUUGGGUGGGGGAUGUGCUCGCGGCCUAUCAGCUUGUUGGUGGGGUAAUGGCCUACCAAGGCUUCGACGGGUAGCCGGCCUGAGAGGGUGACCGGCCACACUGGGACUGAGACACGGCCCAGACUCCUACGGGAGGCAGCAGUGGGGAAUAUUGGACAAUGGGCGGAAGCCUGAUCCAGCAACGCCGCGUGAGGGAUGACGGCCUUCGGGUUGUAAACCUCUUUCAGCACCGACGAAGCGCAAGUGACGGUAGGUGCAGAAGAAGGACCGGCCAACUACGUGCCAGCCGCCGCGGUAACAC
rnacentral:rRNA from 1 species